AUGCCACAGUUGACCCAGUCUCACUCUGUUGCUACGCUGGAGUGUGGUGGCACCAUCUUGGCUCACUGCAACCUCUGCCUCUGGAGUUCAAGUGAUUCUCCUGCCUCAGCCUCCCAAGUAGCUGAGACUACAGAUAUUUCUUCCUCCCUUUACUUUGAGCCUGGGGGUGUUAUGGAAUGUGAGCUACAUCUCCUGAAGAUAGUCGCUUACUGGGUGUUGCUUCUUCAUUCAACUUGGUACUCUGUGUCUUUAAAGUGGGGCUUUUAGCCUAUUUACAUUCAAGGUAAGUAUUGAUAAGUGAGGAUUUUUUUCUAUCAUUAUUUUGUUAGCUGAUUGUAUUGUAGACCUAAUUGUAUAGAGUUGCUUUACAGUGUUAGUGUGUUGUGUAUUUAGGUAUGUUUUUGUGUUGACAGGUAAUGGUCUUUUGCUUCCGUGUUUACUUCUCCCUUAAGGACCUCUUGUAAGGUAGGUCUGGGGUUAACAAAUUCCCUUAGCAUUUGCUUCUCUGGAAAGGAUUUUUUUUCUUCAUUGCUAAUAAGCUUUGUUUGACUGGAUAUGAAGUGCUUGGAUGAAAUUUCUCUUUUUUUGAGAAUGCUGAAUAUCGGCAUUCUAGCUUGCAAGGUUUCUGCUGAAAGGUCUGCUGUUAGCCUGAUAGGCUUUCCUUUGUGGAUGACCUCCCCCUUCUUUCUGGCUGACUUUAAGACUUUUUCUUUUAUGUUAACUUUGAAGAAUCUCAUGAAUAUGUGUCUUGAGGAUGGUCAAUCUCAUGACUAUGUGUCUUGAGGUAUAGUAUCUUGCAAGGGUAUCUGAAUUUCCUGAAUUUUUAUGUUGACCUCUCUAAUGAGGUUUGGGAAAUUUUCAUGGACAAUAUUUUUAAAUACAUUUUCUAAAUUGUUUGCUUUCACUCCAUCUCUUUCAGGAAUCCCAAUGAGUUUUAUGUUUGGUCACUCUAUGUAAUUUCACAUUUCUUGUAGGUUUUGUUCAUUUCUUAAAAAUCUAUUUUUUUCUGCC
rnacentral:lncRNA from 13 species